rnacentral:rRNA from 1 species
AACGAACGCUGGCGGCAGGCUUAACACAUGCAAGUCGAGCGCCCCGCGAGGGGAGCGGCAGACGGGUGAGUAACGCGUGGGAAUCUACCCAUCUCUACGGAAUAACGCAUGGAAACGUGUGCUUAUACCGUAUACGUCCUUCGGGAGAAAGAUUUAUCGGAGAUGGAUGAGCCCGCGUUGGAUUAGCGAGUUGGUGGGGUAAAGGCCUACCAAGGCGACGAUCCAUAGCUGGUCUGAGAGGAUGAUCAGCCACACUGGGACUUAGACACGGCCCAGACUCCUACGGGAGGCAGCAGUGGGGAAUAUUGGACAAUGGGCGCAAGCCUGAUCCAGCCAUGCCGCGUGAGUGAUGAAGGCCCUAGGGUUGUAAAGCUCUUUCACCGGUGAAGAUAAUGACGGUAACCGGAGAAGAAGCCCCGGCUAACUUCGUGCCAGCAGCCGCCGUAACAC